AAUGAACGCUGGCGGCAGGCCUAACACAUGCAAGUCGAGCGAGCGACGGACGGGAGAGUAAUGUAUGGGGACUGCCCGAUAGCGGGGGAUAACUACUGGAAACGGUAGCGAAUACCGCAUACUAUCGGAUAACCCAUAUGGGAUUAGAUAGUAGGUGAGGUAAUGGCUCACCUGGGCGACGAUCCCUAGCUGUUCUGAGAGGAUGAUCAGCCACAAUGGGACUGAGACACGGCCCAGACUCCUACGGAGGCAGCAGUGGGGAAGAUUGCACAAGGUGCGCAAGCCUGAUGCAGCCAUGCCGCGUGUAUGAAGAAGGCCCUAGGGUUGUAAAGUACUUUCAGUCGGGAGGCGUUACCGACAGAAGAAGCACCGGCUAACUCCGUGCCAGCAGCCGCGGUAAUAC
rnacentral:rRNA from 1 species